GAUGAACGCUGGCGGUGUGCCUAAUACAUGCAAGUCGAGCGAACAGACGAGGAGCUUGCUCCUCUGACGUUAGCGGCGGACGGGUGAGUAACACGUGGAUAACCUACCUAUAAGACUGGGAUAACUUCGGGAAACCGGAGCUAAUACCGGAUAAUAUAUUGAACCGCAUGGUUCAAUAGUGAAAGACGGUUUUGCUGUCACUUAUAGAUGGAUCCGCGCCGCAUUAGCUAGUUGGUAAGGUAACGGCUUACCAAGGCAACGAUGCGUAGCCGACCUGAGAGGGUGAUCGGCCACACUGGAACUGAGAAACGGUCCAGACUCCUACGGGAGGCAGCAGUAGGGAAUCUUCCGCAAUGGGCGGAAGCGUGACGGAGCAACGCCGCGUGAGUGAUGAUGGUCUUCGGAUCGUAAAACUCUGUUAUUAGGGAAGACCAAAUGUGUAAGUAACUAUGCACGUCUUGACGGUACCGAAUCAGAAAGCCACGGCUAACUACGUG
rnacentral:rRNA from 1 species